AUUGAACGCUGGCGGCAGGCUUAACACAUGCAAGUCGAGCGAGCGGCGGACGGGUGAGUAAUGUAUGGGGAACUGCCCGACAGAGGGGGAUAACUACUGGAAACGGUGGCUAAUACCGCAUACCAUCGGGUGAUCCCCUAUGGGAGUAGCUAGUAGGUGGGGUAAAGGCUCACCUAGGCGACGAUCUCUAGCUGGUCUGAGAGGAGGAUCAGCCACACUGGAACUGAGACGCGGGCCCGACUCCCACGGGAGGCAGCUGUUGGGACUCUUGCACAAUGUACGAAAGUCUGAUCGAGCCAUGCCGCGUAUAUGAAGAAGGUCUUAGGUUUGUAAAGUGCUGUUGUCGGAGAGGCGUUAUCUGCCGAGAAAGCGCCGGCUAACUCCGUGCCAGCAGCCGCGGUAAUAC
rnacentral:rRNA from 1 species